GACGAACCGUGCGAACGUUGGUCGGAAUCACUGGGCUUAAAGGGAGCGUAGGCGGGCUAUCAAGUCUGGGGUGAAAUGCCACGGCUCAACCGUGGAACUGCCUCAGAUACUGACGGCCUCGAGGGAGAUAGGGGCAUGCGGAACUGUAGGUGGAGCGGUGAAAUGCGUUGAUAUCUACAGGAACUCCGGUGGCGAAAGCGGCGUGCUGGAUCUCUUCUGACGCUGAGGCUCGAAAGCUAGGGGAGCAAACGGG
rnacentral:rRNA from 1 species